GUGGUUCGUCGAAUGACCUAUUCGUUUACAACCCUAUUUUGACCUCCCUACCACAAGUCCCCGACAAACUGAAUUAGUUCAAUGAUUUGAACUAAUUUUCAACUAAGAUUCUAAGAAGAGCACACCAACAAGAAGCACUGCUUUAGAACCCCCCUCCCCCCUUCUUACCACCAUCCUUUCACAGAAUAAUUGCCCAUUUAUCAGCAAUCCUAAGUACUCAUACUAGUUUUAUUGCCUUCUUGCUGCAAAGUUGCUACGUUUACCAAAAUUAAGGAAAAAGGAGGCUCAUGUUAUCAUCUACCCUAACCAAAAAUAAUCUACUGAGCUUAUUUUAGACAUCCCUAUCACAAUAAAAA